CACACACCCACUUCCCUCAGCCUCAUUGUCCAUCCUCUACAUGUUCCAGGACAACUAAGUCAUGUCUAACUUACUGAGAGUUGGACAUCAUUUUUUCCAGUCUACAUGGGUCCACCCCAGCAGUGGGUUUGCCCCAUGCCCUGAGGUCCUUGAUAAACCCAUACCCUGAGAAAGUGCUCCCAAGCCAAAGGUGUUUUUUUUUAAUUUAUCCAGCUUGAUUCUGGCCCUUUGAUCAAACACCCUUAAAUUCCAAUCCCAGAACUGCUCCUCAGGCUCCUACGGGGACAUAACGGCUGUUACUGCAAAGCUCCUGAGUGGAAUUCCCACUGCAUCAUAGGGGUGAGGUUUCUGCAGCAUCUUCCAGUGUAGGAAGUGGGAACCAUUACUAGAGAAGGGCGAGCCUCCUCUGCAUGCCCAGAGAGUUCUAAAGGGCACCCAUAGGAUAACCCUGUUCCAGUUUGCAGAAUCUUAGGUUUCCGCACCAAGGCCUUGACUUUCCCACAGCAGGUCUGCCUCUGAUGAGUGUCCAAACAUCUCUGUAGUACUGUGACUUUUAAAAUGAUGUCAUCAGCUAUCAUUCCACUCUGCAAGGGGAGAGGGGCAGAUGCCCCUCCUCGGUCUGUCUCCACCAGGCCCUGUGAGGGUGGGUGGAGGCUCUCUCCAAGCCCUCGUUUGGCCCCACCCCAGCAUGUCUCCAGGUUCCUCUCAGCCCUGGUUCCUUUUGGCCCUGCAGUCACAAUGGGCAACACUGUGACGCACCCUGUCCUGUGUCACAGUGUCAUACACUCAGGCUCACAUUGCCCCUAGGCCACUUGCCAGCCAAGGGACAUGGCCACAUUUUGUGUCUUCUGCACCUCAGCCUUGCUUUCAAGUGCAGGAUGCUGACUCCUGCGUCCAUCUCAACCUGGGCAUCGUGCCACCACCUUCAAGAAGAGAAAAACUAAGUAGUGCUUUGCAAAGGGGCAGCAGCAUUUCUCAUUUCUGACCAUGUCAGGCACACGGCCAUGCAGAUGAGCAGGUGGGGGACACAGUGAGGCUGUGAACACCCUAUCUCACUGACCUCAGAAGGACAGUACAGCAGUAGCCACCAUGACCAAAAAGAUGAUUCCAGAAGUGCAGGACAACUCCCUACCCAGAGGCUGUGGCUGUGCAGUAACACACCAAGAGGGGAGUCCAGCUGGCUCUCAGGGUGCUCACUACCCUCAUCUGGGGGCCUGGAGGACGUCAAUUCCUGAGAACGCCACGUUCUAGUGAGUAGAAUGAACUAAGAGAUACACAGCAAAGCUCCACAUACUUUUCCUUUUCUUUGUGCCCGCAGUGUUCUUCAUCAGUGUGCUCUCGCUUUUCAGCUACUACUGUUGGCUGGCUGGAAAAAAUAGAACAAUAGUAAAAAUUAGAGACCAGUCUUUGGUGAUGAAGAGAAAUAUUGGCUACUUCCAGUAUUUUCUAGCUUUGGUUAUGGUUGCAGUUUUCCAGCUCACCUUGUGGGGAUGAAUUCAGAAAAAAGUUACAAAUUGAAAUGAACAUGCCAGAAGUAUUGGCUCAAAUCAACGUUGUCCUAUUAAGCCACUUAGUGAAUCAAAAGACCGCUUGUUGGACUGUUAAUCUCGGUGGCCAGAGAAAGGAGCUGAAGAAGGUGUUGCCAGAUCAGGAACAAAUAAUUACAGCGGCAAUAGAAAAUGGAAGACCACUUGUUCAUAACCAUUUGAAUAAGGGCAAGGUGUAUGGAAACACAUUAUGAACUGAUAUUUUCAGUUUUGUUUGCAAGAAAAUGAUUAAUAAGGUGAAAUAAUUGAAGUAUCACGGAAGAUACAUUAAAAAAAAAAAAAAGCCUUUGUACAGUUUGCUGGAGCCACAGAUGUCCUACUCCAGAGCAGAACAAUGCCUGAAUCUUCAGGGUCCAUUUGUGCCGCAUUCACUAGCAACCACAAAUGUGACUUAAUUUUACUUUGGAAAUAAUGCUUACCUAUUGUGAGAUGCUGUAAUAUGAACCAUCAUUACAUGUUAACAUGGCACAUGGAAUUUUGAGUGUCUAAGUUACAUUUUUAGAGUUGUUUCUUAGUAGCCAUGUGAGUUUCCACUCCAAAAACACAAGCUAAAAACUUGUUUUGAGUGAAGGACAUCUAGGGCAAAUGGUGGCUGAAAGUGAAUGAGAUCCCAAUUACUCUUUCUUGUACUGUAUAAGGAAAAGAAAAUAAGUGCUUUUCUUGUUGGGUGUUUGCUAAUUUAUAAUUACCGUUUUAUGCUUUUCAACAUUUUUAAUAAAGUUUUUUAUUGUUGGCUAUAAACGUUUUAAAAGGAUUCUCUUCCUCUAGAAUCACUCUAAGUACCAAAAUCUGUAUUAUUCUGGAUUCAACAGAGAAACAGAACCAAUAAGGGGUGUGUGUGUGUGUGUGUGUGUGUGUGUGUGUGUGUAUGUGUGUGUUUUAUUCGUGUUAUGAAACUGACUCAUGCAAUUAUUACGGUGGCAAGUGUGAAAUCUGUAGGAUACGCCAGCAGGCUGAAAAUGCAGACAGAAGUUGAUAUGGUAGUCUUAAGACAGAAUUUCUUCUUUUCUGGGAAACUGUAGUUUCUGCUCUUAAAGCCUUCUACUGAUUGGAUGAGGUCCAUCUACAUUAUUGAGGGUAAUUUCCUUUUCAUAAAGUCAACUGAUUGUAAAUGUUAACCACAUGUACUAAAUAUCUUCACAGCAACAUCUAGAUUAGGUUUUGAUUAAAU
rnacentral:lncRNA from 1 species